UAAUGUUUCAUCUUCAGUCCUAAUAAUUCACUGUUCCUGAUGCUGAGUAUUUGGCAAGUAUUUGACAAAUCCUGGUUGAUUCCUGAAAACCUGAGAUGGAAGAUUGUGAUUUCAGUUGUGUAAAUUUAAGGGACCAAGCACCCACACAGACUGCUAAAUGAUUGGUAAUUGCAGGUAACAUAGGUAACCUAACAUUAAUUAGCUUAAAAGAUAUCUGUAUACUCUGCAGGUUUUCCUCCAUUUAUGAGAUGGUUACACCCCAGUAGUGAAUAUCGUACUGGAUAUCGCUGGCCCAGGGUCUUUACAUGGAAAUCGAGGAUAUCCAAAUUUUACCAGUGACUUGAGGCCACACAACUGAGAGGUCAGCCUUGAUUACCUAUAUAAGUCCUGCCUGCCAUCAUGGGAUCUGUAAAGAGUGGAACUGUGUUGUGAAGUGUACUCAAGCUGAGUGGUCAGUUGUUCUUACCACCAUAUGGCAACCUAUGGAGACAUUUUUGAUCGUCACAACUAGAGGAGCAUCCCGCGAACGCUGUUAAACGUCCCGCGGCACACAGGACAGCUCCCUGCUGUAAAGGACUGUGCAGCCUGAAAUGGCAGCAGUGCUGCUGCUGGGAAACCCCUGGCUCUAAUCUGACUUUUAGUCUCUUCAUCCAUACAGUGGGGAUAUUGACAGUACCUAGUUG
ensembl:lncRNA